AUGUGUCAUAUGAUAGAUGUGACAAGGAUAGGCAGCAUCAGUUUAAUUGGCAGCAUUCUGUCUUCCUCCAUGGCACAUAAAAUAAUAGUGCAUCUGGCAGAAAAGUCACCUGAGGGGAUGAAGCGCUGUGUUCUUUCAACAAACAUUGAUAAUGUGCCUACUCCAGACGGCUGUACCAGGCGUGCUGUGCAGAGGAGUGGGAGACACAGAGUCAGAGGAUUAAGGAUCGCCCACAAUGCAACUUUCGAUGCCUCUGCCGUAAUCGCUUCGGACGGUCUGCACGUGACGUGGGUGAGCUCGAGGAUCGGCUUUCCAUCUCGUUGCUUCAGACGGUGCUUUCACUUUUUUGCAGUUCAGCUCUGGCAACAUUCGAGUCAAGUGUCAGGCAGCACGUUGGAAACAUCUGGCCAUUCUACAAGAAGACUCCCUCCCCCGCCCCCAGCUUACCUUUGGAGGACAGAGUUUGUGUCCUUUCCUGGGGGCAGAUUUUUAAGUUCGUGGAGAUAACAUUUCAUUUCUUGGGAACUAUCUAACUCAAAUAUAAAUGUGAUUUUAAGCAGCAGCACCCUGUCUUCAGAUAAAAUCUUGUACAGAAGCUCAUUUCAUAAAUUGAGUGAGUAUGAAACUGCUGCUCUGCUGGAAAUGGUGGAUUUAAAAUAAAUG
rnacentral:lncRNA from 1 species